GACCUCUGUCACUUUAUAAAAUUGAAACGACACAGAGAAGAUUAGCAUGGCCGCUGCAUAAGGAUGACACGCAUAGCCUUUUUGUAAUUUUU
rnacentral:snRNA from 1 species